rnacentral:snRNA from 1 species
AUACUUAGCUGGCAGGGGAGGUAUCAUGAUCACAAAGGGGGCUUUCCCAGGGCGAGGCUUGUCCAUUCGGCUUUGGAUGUGCUUUCCCCAAAUGUGGGAAACUUGACUGCAUAACUUGUGGUAGUGGGGGACUGCAUUCGCGCUCACCCCUG